CAGGCGGGGGGAUGGAAAACUGUUGCUGUGAAUCCCUCUCAGCACAUGGGGAGCGAGGGGAGUGGACGGAGGUUCGAUCCUCUGGCUGCAAUGAGCCCUUGAAAAGGAGUCUGGCUGCCUCCUUCCUGAGCCACGUUUCUAGUAGAGUGUGUUAAUCCGGAGUCACUGCAAGGCAGAACAGGGAGUGACUCCAGAUUAACAUGGGGGCAGAUAAGAUCAGGGCAUGUCCCGGUGGGGAGGGGAUUUCAGUUGUUGCCAAAGGGGGGAAAGUGACUCAGUUUCUCUCCGUCUCUUUCUCUGCUCAGGAUAUUGGGGUUGAGCUUCCUGGGUCAGACGCUGCUGCCCCGACAGUGGUCUCGGGCUCCAGGCUGAACAGCUGCUGCUCCCCCAGCGGGAUCUGGGCUGGGGAGUGACCGUGAGUAAAGUGCUCUCUGUGCCCAGCCAAGAGUCAAGAACAUCCAUCUGCGAGGAAAGAGCCAGGGGGAAUUGUGAUGUGAUGUGACUGUCCUGUUCUGACACAUCCCCUUCUUGCCCUGACAGGCUGCAGUGUCACGUCCCAUCCUUCCAGGGACGGGAAAUGGCUGCCGUGGGGCCAGCCCAGGGGCCGGUGACUUUCGAGGAGGUGGCUGUGUAUUUCACCAG